UCCAGUUGAUCCUGCUGGAGGUCACUGCUUUCCGAAUCCGACUAAGACAUGCUAAUCUAGGGUUCAUUUUUGAGUCCUUGGUGAAAAGCUCAGUAACACGUAGUUAACUUGCCCUUAGGUCUAGUUUAAUCCCGAGAAAUUGGGGCCGAGAACUGGAUAGAUAAAAGUUCCUGGAAUGGUUUUUAUUCAACUAAGGAUGGGACUGCGGCCUAUUAGGUAGUUGUCAGAUUAAGAUCCUGACAAGCCGAUAAUGGGUACGGGCCUUGAGAGAGGAAGCCCGGAGAUGGAUUCUGAGACAAGAAUCCAGGUCCUACGGGGCGCAGCAGUCGCGAAACUUCUACAAUGCUCGCAAGAGUGAUAGAGGGAUUUGGAGUGAUUUAGCUUCGGCUGAAUCUUUUGUCGAGAGUAAAUAGCUCGGCGAAUAAGGGGUGGGUAACACGGGUGCCAGCCGCCGCGGUAAUACCCGGGCCCCGAGUGGUGACCACGUUUAUUGGGCUUAAAGCGUUCGUAGCCGGUCUAUUAAGUUCCUGAUGAAAUACCACAGCUAACUGUGGUGCUUGUCAGGAAGACUAGUAGACUUGAGACCGGGAGAGGCUAAGAGUAUUCCUAGGGUAAGGGUAAAAUCUUCUAAUCCUAGGAGGACUACCUGUGGCGAAGGCGCUUAGCUAGAACGGAUCUGACGGUGAGGGACGAAAGUUAGGGGAGCAAAAAGGAUUAGAUACCCCUGUAGUCCUAACUGUAAACGAUACCCACUAAGCAUUGGCAAUCCUACGGGGAUUGUCAGAGUUGUAGGGAAACUGUUAAGUGGGUCGCCUGGGGAGUACGGUCGCAAGGCUGAAACUUAAGGGAAUUGGCGGGGGAGCACACAAGGGGUGGAGGCUGCGGUUUAAUUCGAUUCAACGCGAGGAACCUUACCAGUGGCGACAGCAGAAUGAAGGUCAGUCUGAAGGGCUUACCAGACAAGCUGAGAGGUGGUGCAUGGCCGUCGUCAGUUUGUGUCGUGAGAUGCCCUGUUAAGUCAGGUAACAAACGAGGCCCGUGCCCUAUGUUGCUAAUGCAGCUUUUGUUGCAUGCACUCAUAGGGGACCGCUACUGAAGAAGUAGAGGAAGGUGCGGUCAACGGCAGGUCUGUAUGCUCUGGAUCCACUGGGCAACACGCGGCCUACAAUGGUCGGGACAAUGAGAUGCGACUCCGAGAGGAAUAGCUAAUCUUUAAACCCGAUCUUAGUCCGGAUCGAGGUCUGCAACCCGGCCUCGUGAAGCCGAAAUCCCUAGUAGUCGCUGGUCAUCAUCUAGCGACGAAUGCGUUCUUGCUCCUUGCACACACUGCCCGUCAAGCCAACCGAGUGGAUCUUUGGUGAGCUUUUGGUUUUUGCCAAUAUCGAGCCAGAGCUUUUGCAAGGUGGGCUAAGUCGUAACAAGGUA
rnacentral:rRNA from 1 species